rnacentral:lncRNA from 1 species
GAACUUGACACAGCAAACAUGAAGGCGACUGUUCAUGUAACGCGUAGGAUCCCUCCACGCACCAAAAAGAGGAUUCAUGCUUACUCCACUCUCAUCUACAGAGCUCAUAAAGAGGUUAGUCCUGUUGGACUGAGAAGUCCUGAGUUUCUGACCAGGAGGCAUGGUGUCCCCAGACUGGUCCUGCUCAGGCUUGUAGGCUCGGAGGCUUCUCGGCUGUCCAAGUCAAACAGGUUGAAAGUCAUCACUCGGAGAGAGCUCAGUGCUGCUGUUGCACACAUACAACGGAGGAUCCAUGCAAGAGCCGCUGCCUGAAGAUAUAGACUUUAAAACAAAAUUUUAUUUUUAUUAUUAAAGGGUUUAUUUUUUUUAAUCUCUGCCUCUUUAUUAAAGUAAAGCUGUUAGGUAUUUAACCCUAACAGCUGGUGGAUGGAAGACUAGGACAGACAGAAAGUGUGUACGCUCAGAUUUAUGGAGGUUGCGACUUCCUAUUAAUUGUAAUGGUCCUGUUAUUCCACAAGGUGGAGCCAUAGGGCGUGAGGUCAUGGGCAAAAACCAUCUUCCAAUAAGAUAAGACUUGCUUAUGAUAUUCUGACAGUUUGACAGGCAACUUCCAAAUAUCAAAAUCACAUUUCAGGAGAAAAUCCAACCCUCCCACCUUUUUGAAAACAUUUUUGGGGAUAUGGAACGAUAUGGAGUCAGGUUUUGAGAGGAAGGCUUUUAUCCAGUUUAUUUUACAGUUUUUUCUGAAUGCUUAAACCCUAACUGUGAUUCUUAUAGCACAAUUUCUAAAACUAUUAAUACAAAACCACUCACUGAGUUUGCAAAACUAAAAGCACAAACACUGCUUUGCACUCAGUUUGCCAUUUUGUAACACACACUUUGCAAAACUGUAGGCACAAUUCACUGCACAACACUCUUUUUGCAGAACUUUAAACACAACUCACUGCUUACACUCAAUUACCACAUUCCCAACACACUCCUAGCAAAAUUAUACACAUGUAUGGCUAUCAUUAACACUAUUUUGCCAACUGUCUGGCACACUUUCACAUGUGAAAACUGUCUUAGAUAAUUAGUCCACUUUGCAAUCAGCCUAAGCACUAUAAAC